rnacentral:rRNA from 1 species
GACGAACGCUGGCGGCGUGCUUAACACAUGCAAGUCGAACGGAAAGGCCCUGCUUUUGUGGGGUGCUCGAGUGGCGAACGGGUGAGUAACACGUGAGUAACCUGCCCCUGACUUUGGGAUAACUUCAGGAAACUGGGGCUAAUACCGGAUAGGAGCUCCUGCUGCAUGGUGGGGGUUGGAAAGUUUCGGCGGUUGGGGAUGGACUCGCGGCUUAUCAGCUUGUUGGUGGGGUAGUGGCUUACCAAGGCUUUGACGGGUAGCCGGCCUGAGUGGGUGACCGGCCACAUUGGGACUGAGAUACGGCCCAGACUCCUACGGGAGGCAGCAGUGGGGAAUAUUGCACAAUGGGCGGAAGCCUGAUGAAGCAACGCCGCGUGCGGGAUAACGGCCUUCGGGUUGUAAACCGCUUUCGCCUGUGACGAAGCGUGAGUGACGGUAAUGGGUAAAGAAGCACCGGCUAACUACGUG